UACGUAGGGUGCGAGCGUUAAUCGGAAUUACUGGGCGUAAAGCGUGCGCAGGCGGUUUUGUAAGCCAGAUGUGAAAUCCCUGGGCUUAACCUAGGAACUGCAUCGAUGACUGACAGGCUAGAGUACUGUAGAGGGUAGUGGAAUUUCCGGUGUAGCGGUGAAAUGCGUAGAGAUCGGAAGGAACACCAGUGGCGAAGGCGGCUACCUGGACGGAUACUGACACUGAGGCGCGAGAGCGUGGGGAGCAAACAGG
rnacentral:rRNA from 1 species